rnacentral:lncRNA from 10 species
AGGGGCUGGGUCGGGCGGGGCCUCUACCAUGCAGUGCAGUGUCUAGUGGGCCAGGCGGGACUAAGAGAGCCGAGGUCGCUCCCCAUCCACUCUCACAAGGUUUGUUCUUUCGCUCUUUGGGUCCACACUGCCUUUAUAAACUGCAACACUCACUGCGAAGGUCUGCAGCUUCACUCCUGAAGCCAGUGAGACCACGAACACAACCAGCAGGAACGAAUAACUCCAGACUGGCAGCCUUAAGAGCUGUAACACUCACCGCGAAGGUCUGCAGCUUCACUCCUGAUCCAGCGCGACCACGAAGCCACCGGAAGGAAGAAACUCCGAACACAUCCGAACGUCAGAAGGAACAAACUCCGGACACGCCACCUUUAAGAACUGUAACACGGCCGGCGCGGUGGCUCACGCCUGUAAUCCCAGCACUUUGGGAGGCCGAGGCGGUGGAUCACGAGGUCAGGAGUCCGAGACCAGCCUGACCAACAUGGUGAAACCCCGUCUCUACUAAAAAUACAAAAAUGAGCCGGGCGUGGUGGCGCAUGCCUGUAAUCCCAGCUACUCAGGUGACUGAGGCAGGAGCAUCGCAUGAACCCAGAGGUUGCAGUGAGCCGAGAUCGCACCACGGCCCUCCAGCCUGGGUGACAGAGCAAGACUCUGUGUCAAAAAAACCAAAACAAAACAAAACAAAAAAACCAAACUGAUGCUUAUUCCUUUACUAUGGGCUGACCACCACACAGGACACUUGACCAGGUAUCUUCAUUUUCCUGUUCCAUGACUGAAGAAUUCCUAGAAACAGAUGAAGUGCGAAUUCCUGGGCCCUACCCGUAGUGCUUGGAUCCAGAACAUCUGGAAGGUGGCCCACUGGGCAGGAGGGGUGUUUGUCUCCUAUGGACUGGAUCUACUUUUCUAAAAACAGAGAUAAGCACCCUUGGCCCCUUAACAAAUGGGCUGCUGCUUACAAAUCCCUUUCCUACAGUCUCUCCGUAAAUUCUCAUAACAACCCUUUCCACAUGAUGAGGCCACUGAAACCCAGAGAGGGAGAGUUAUUUGCCCUGAGGUACAGACCCAGGAGGACCAGGUAGGGGGGUACCUGUGGCCACCACUAUGUCCCUUUAAGAGGAAGGCUUAUCCCUGGCAACUGGUGCUCAGAUGGGGACCAGGGGAGGCCUUGGGGAGAAAAGAGCAGGACUGGUGGGAGGGAAGACUGGACAGAAAGGUGACUUGGAGGGACCCAGAAGCAGCCAGGACUGAAAGUGGAGGGCCUGAGACCUGAGCCUGGCAGGAUUCUGCUAUGAAGGGAAGACCCUGGGCUCUUCUGGGCCAGACGUGUGGCUGAAGUUUGGAGGUUAGUGACUUUCAUGUUUGGUUUGGGUAUUUCACUUAUUUUUCCCAACACAUCUCUGAAGACAGUACCCUUAUACUCAAUUUCCAGAGGUAGGUACUGACAUCAGAGAGGUGCAACGGCUUUUCUAGGGUCACACAGCACAGUCGAGAUUCCUCCUCAAUCCCGUCUUGCCAAAACCCAGGCUUUUCCCUGGCUCCUGGCUAUUGGUAGGAGGCCAUGUGUCAGUAUGUCCAAGUACCGGGGCUGUCAAUGCUCUUUUUCUGUACCUGGUAUGUGACUUGUUGUGUAUGGGUGGUCCAGGCCCAAGGGGCAGCCUCUGUGUAGUGGGGUUUACAGGCAGGCUGUGUAGUUAAGAAGCCUAGGGGCAGCAGGGGAGGU